CCUACGGGAGGCAGCAGUGGGGGAUAUUGCACAAUGGGGGGAACCCUGAUGCAGCGACGCCGCGUGGGUGAAGGAGUGCUUCGGCAUGUAAAGCCCUAUCGGCAGGGAAGAAGCAAGACGGUACCUGACUAAGAAGCCCCGGCUAACUACGUGCCAGCAGCCGCGGUAAUACGUAGGGGGCGAGCGUUAUCCGGAUUCACUGGGUGUAAAGGGAGCGUAGACGGCCAUGCAAGCCAGGGGGGAAAGCCCGGGGCCCAACCCCGGGACUGCCGUUGAAACUGUGCGGCUAGAGUGCGGGAGGGGCAGGCGGAAUUCCUGGUGUAGCGGUGAAAUGCGUAGAUAUCAGGAGGAACACCGGCGGCGAAGGCAGCCUGCUGGACCGCGACUGACGUUGAGGCUCGAAAGCGUGGGGAGCGAACAGGAUUAGAUACCCCUGUAGUC
rnacentral:rRNA from 1 species